GCCAACACGCCCACGCAGCAGAGCAGAAAAAGGGCGACUGUUACGUGAGCAGGUGUAGAGGGAGGAGAGGGGGCAAGGCGCUCGGUCAGUCACUCCGUCAGUCAGUCAGUCCGUCAGUUAGUUAUGCAAGUAAUCAGUCAGUUAGUUGUUCAGGUAAUUAGUCAGUCAGUCAGUUAAUUGUUUAGGUAGUCAGUCAGUAAGUCAGUUAGUUGUGGAGGCAGUCAAUCAGUCAGUCAGUCAGUUAGUUGUUCAGGUAGUCAGUCAGUUGAUUGUUUAGGUAGUCAGUCAGUAAGUCAGUUAGUUGUGGAGGUAGUAAAUCAGUCAGUCAGUCAGUUAGUUGUUCAGGUAGUCAGUCAGUUGAUUGUUUAGGUAGUCAGUCAGUAAGUCAGUUAGUUGUGGAGGCAGUCAAUCAGUUAGUCAGUCAGUUAGUUGUUCAGGUAGUCAGUCAGUUGAUUGUUUAGGUAGUCAGUCAGUAAGUCAGUUAGUUGUGGAGGUAGUAAAUCAGUCAGUCAGUCAGUUAGUUGUUCAGGUAGUCAGUCAGUCAGUUAGUUAGUUGUUCAGGUAGUCAGUCAGUCAGUUAGAUAUGCAGGUAGUCAGUCAGUCAGUCAGUUAGAUAUGCAGGUAGUCAGUCAGUCAGUCAGUUAGAUAUGCAGGUAGUCAGUCAGUCAGUUAGUUAGAUAUGCAGGUAGUCAGUCAGUCAGUCAGUUAGAUAUGCAGGUAGUCAGUCAGUCAGUCAGUUAGUUAGAUAUGCAGGUAGUCAGUCAGUCAGUUAGUUAGAUAUGCAGGUAGUCAGUCAGUCAGUUAGUUAGAUAUGCAGGUAGUCAGUCAGUCAGUUAGUUAGAUAUGCAGGUAGUCAGUCAGUCAGUUAGUUAGAUAUGCAGGUAGUCAGUCAGUCAGUCAGUUAGAUAGACAUGCAGUCAGUCAGUCAGUCACAUUUAGUCAGACAUCUAGAUAGGCAGAAAAAUAGAUAGGUAUGGAGAUGGAUAAACAGAUAGAUGGACAGACAGACAGAUAGACAGGCAGAUAGAUAGAUAAACAGACAGACAGACAGGAAGAUAGACAGCCGAGAGAAUUAAAAAGGAAGAAAAAAUGAAAGAACGAAUUGAAUGUCUAUAUAGCAUAACCGCAGGGUGUAUAAACGGCCUCAAGUAGUAGUAGUAGUAGUAGUAGUAGUAGUAGUAGUAGCAGCAAUAGUAGUAGUAGUAGUAGUAGUAGGAGUAGUAGUAGCCUAUAUAUAGUAUAGUCCGGCAAAUCUUAAGGUGGAAGGUCCUUAUUAUGGUCGAAAAAAUCAAUUUUUUGAAAAUCUCAGUAUGAACUUGCGAGGCUGGUGCCGAGGUAAUGCGCCGCACUGCCAAGCGUUAGAGCGUCAUGGUGGCCUUUAAUUAAAUACCUACUACCCUACGCACGGGGGAUUUAAACAUAUAUACUGUCACUUCUCUUUGUGUAUCUUCUAUUUGCAUCCUUUUUUCCGAUUUUUUUGUGAUUAUAUGUAAUUAUGGUACUGUAUGAUAGUCUCUCCACAUCUCCACGCGAGAAGAGUGAGUGUGUAGCGGGGCCGGGGAGGCAGUAUUGAUUUUGUGGAGGGGGAGGGUAAACGCGCUUUGCAUUCACACGUGCGUUUCUUUUUCGCCAGCUUAUACCGUCUUCCAGUGGAUUUUCAGACAGCAUGGGGAAGCGGAAAGCAAAGGUAAUGAAGAGGAGUGAGGCUGCAAAGAAACGUAUGAACGUGUACUGGGAGAAAGUGAAAGAGGAAAAUAUAUUGUGAGCACACCUUCUCCGUAGCAGUGACCUGAGAUGACCUGAAAGAGCUUCCUUGGAAAUCUGACCUCUUGAACAUUAUCAGAAGAGUUAGAUAAGGAACGAGACAUAGUUUUGUUGUGCUAGAAAACAUCUCUGUACCGUACAUUGUCACCUAAACAUAAAAGUGAGUUUUUCUCAAAAUGAAAAUUAUAAUGUAAAGAAUUAUAUAUCUCAACUUGUAUUAGGACGAUUUUUUUUUCAGCAUAGUACUGAGAAAAGAAUGAUCUACAAACCUACAUAUUAAGAUUCGUUAAUGUCGAAGUUUGUAGGAUCUGUGAUUUUUUUUUUCGGUAGUUUUUACAGAAAAAAAUUGCCACUUGAAUUGAUUUUGUUUUGUGCACUUAUUAUUUGCGAUAUACAAAUGAUAAUAUGUAGUAUUGUUCCGUUGAGUGUCUUUUAAACCUCAUAUAAAGGAUAUUCCUUUACUUUGAAUAGUUUUCUGUGAAUACGAAUUUUUUUGAGAAUAUGUAAAACUUAAAAAAAAAAAAAAAAUCCAUCAAUUUUUAUGAAAAUUAUAUCAGGGAUACCUCACAGUCUAGUGUUUAAACUAUAAACAAAUCAUUAGUCUAGACGAAAAAUUACGCCCGCAGGAGAUCAAAAUGUCCGAACACGACCGUAAAUAUGACUUUCCCCCUUAAAUGGCGGCUCCUACUGAUCUCGCGCACCGUGCCUGUCUCUCUCUCUCUCUCUCUCUCUCUCUCUC